CCUUUGACGUUAGCGGCGGACGGGUGAGUAACACGUGGGUAACCUACCUAUAAGACUGGGAUAACUUCGGGAAACCGGAGCUAAUACCGGAUAAUAUUUCGAACCGCGUGGUUCGAUAGUGAAAGAUGGUUUUGCUAUCACUUAUAGAUGGACCCGCGCCGUAUUAGCUAGUUGGUAAGGUAACGGCUUACCAAGGCGACGAUACGUAGCCGACCUGAGAGGGUGAUCGGCCACACUGGAACUGAGACACGGUCCAGACUCCUACGGGAGGCAGCAGAG
rnacentral:rRNA from 1 species